UACGUAGGGUGCAAGCGUUGUCCGGAAUUAUUGGGCGUAAAGAGCUCGUAGGUGGUUCGGUAAGUCGGAUGUGAAAUCUCCAGGCUCAACCUGGAGGGGUCAUUCGAUACUGCCGUGACUAGAGGUCGGUAGGGGAGUGUGGAAUUCCUGGUGGAGCGGUGAAAUGCGCAGAUAUCAGGAGGAACACCGGUGGCGAAGGCGGAUCUCUGGGCCAUUACUGACGCUGAGGAGCGAAAGCGUGGGGAGCGAACAGG
rnacentral:rRNA from 1 species